rnacentral:lncRNA from 1 species
AUGUCUGGUGCACGGCCUCGAGGUCCUUCUGCCUUGUGCUGGCUGACUCCAGCUGCCCCCAGCGUGGGAUCCCCUCUGCAAGGAGCUGCUGGUGUCCGAGUAUUUUCUUCCGAAUAUUGCCCAGAAAUGCGUGCUGCUGCUGCUGUGUUAUACUCCGCUUCAGAGGCUGGCGAGCCRGUUAAUCAGCUGUCCCUCCAUCCCUCCAGCCAGCUGCUUCUCGUAUGUACAGGUAUGCAAAAAGACGCGCUGGCGAAGGAGGAUGAGACGCGGCUGGUUUCUUCCCCGGAGAUCAUGUUUCUCAUGUUUCCUACUUGUUGCAUAACGGCUUAUUUUAGCACCGAUCAGCUGAGGCUUUGUUGUGCAGACAAUCCGGCCCUUUCGGGGGAUCCGUGCAGCRCUGGUUCUUCCAAAACGCUUUUUUGUUUUUAUUAUUAGAUUUAUUUCUCCUCUUAGCGAACGCCGACUGACAGCACCCUGCCGCAGCUCUUCAUAAGCGUUGCAUAAAUGUCUCGCUACGUAAACGGGGCACCGUGCAGUUAAUAUACGUGACCUUUCUGCAGGAGCAUCCAUCCAGUGUUAUCUCGGUGCAUAUUAGCUGUGUGUGUUGCAUAUACGUGUUCGUGUAGGUAUUUGGUAUAAAUGCGCAUAUAUGGUAGCCAGAAAUCUGUUAAGUGCGUGAUCAAUGCUGCAAGGGAAAGUACUCAAAAUUAAGCAAUGCCAGAAUCCCGCCUGCCCGUGCAGCUUAAUAAAUGGCCUUUUGUUGGAGCA